UGAAGGUGAAGUUGAGGCUGUACUAAGAACUCCAGUACGCAGAAUUCAGGGAGUGACGCUUGGAAAAGACACUGAAGGAGACCCGAAAGAGAGCGCCAAUAGCUUUUGUUUCUACCCAGCCAUAAAAAGAAGUUACGAUGAUCCCGUGGCUGACGGUGAGGUCCAUACUACUACUGCUUGCCGGUUGUUGCGCUGUUGCUACCCUGAUAAAAAGUUCCAGUCACCAAGAGGCUCACAGUGUCCAUGGAAUAGUGGCCUAUCACUACAAUGAAACUGUGGAGUGGACACAGAGACUCAGUGGACACCCAGGAAAGUUGCACAGAAAGAGCAGGUCCAGCGUUCGACCAGCACCUCAUAGCAGAAAGCUGUGGCAGAAAGACAAGUUCAUCGAACACCUGACAGGUCAAGUUCGUCAUUCUGUUAUAUGGAAAUUCUAUGAAAUGUGUCUGAAAAUGUGCCAGUUGCACAGGCAAUUAAAAAAAAGGAUAUUUCGAUAAGUCACACAGUAUCACAGUGGUAUGUGCCAUAACCGUGUCUAACUCUCUGCCUGUUUCAGUAUCAAAUCUAAGUCCCAGCAUUGCUGCAGUCUACAUGUGUCUCAUUUGCAUAUAUUUUAGUUUUUUUGCAGAUACUACAGCUUCCUCCAACCUUCCAGUACCCGACCUUUUACCCAGAUAUACUGUAUAUAUAAUUGAUAACAUUUGACCAUUUCAAAUUUGGUUGAAUUUUGUUUUAUUUGAAUUUUUAUUUAGCCAUUAAAAACCAGUUGAGAUUAAACUCAUCUGCAAGACUGUUGUGGUCAAUGACAUUUUAUUUGGUGCUAAAAUGAACAUUUUCUCUCCUCUUCAGGGCCUCAUUAUUUCAAUCCAAAGUGUAGGACUCACUUUAACAGACUGUACCACAUUAGGGAUUGUGUGGUGCCAGCCUAUUUUAAAAGAUGUGCUCAUCUGUUGACUCGACUGGCCUACAGCCUUCGUUGUGCAGAGAGGUCACCACUGUAACGGCUUGACAGGAACAUGGACUGUGGCCCAGCACAAGGUGGAAAACAUCAUUUUCUACAAACUGGAGGGUGAACAUCUCAAAUCAAAGAGAACGCUAAACACCGGCCCCCGGCGUGGAUGUUGUGUAUGGACGCCACAGAACAAACACACACCAGUGAAUGAGUGUGGAGGAACACAAAAGUUCCGUGUGAGUCCCUCUCCAUCUGACAAAUGGUAAAUUGGAUUUCUCUUGUGUGUGUGUUUUUUUUUUUAACGUUCAAGAGACUCAGCGCAUUAUAACAUACUGUAUCAGCUUUUUUACCUAUGGAUAAAUUGGCCUCAAGAGUUCAAUAUCUUUCUUAUGAAUACAUCGACAUGGUCACAAAAUGACUGGAGAACGAACAUGUGAUGAUAUGGCACUGGAAGUGAGCCUUUCUCCCAAAUGUUGGCAGAUUUCAAACUUUUGUCACCUUCCAGCUCCUGUUCCCACUGGGAUUCGUUAAUUGCUGCUUCCUACAUCAAGAACAGUCUCAUGAAAAUUCACCCAGGACUUCUUUCAAGGCAUACCUUAAGACUUCAUUUCCCUGGUCACUGCUGUCAGCAAAAAAAAUAGAUCAGGAUUGUACUAAAUUUACCAACAAAUACUGAAAAUUAUGAAACAAUUUACAUGGAAAAUUAAACUAAAUACCAGAAGGAAAAAAACGGCCUUCCUUGAAUAAACUAUUUUAAAACUGAUGAAAGAAUGAGAUGACUAAUUGAGUUUGUCAGUCAAAUUAGGAUACGAUAGAUACCAGUUUAUCUCAUUGAGAAAUAGGGUAGUGAAAGAUAAGAAAAUAUUAAGCCAUUUUAUUCCAUUAGUGUUUUGAUUAGUGCAUGAGAAAAUGUUUAAAAUAACCUGGAAUUAUAUUAAAAAAUGCCCCCCCAACCCAAAAAAAAUACAACUCCAAAAACAAAUUCAAUUAAUUUGGAACAUCCCGGCAGAACCUACAGUGAUAGCUGACAGUGAUAGCUGAUGCUUUUUUCUGUCAAUUUUAGCUUUCCGAAGGCCUGGAACUCUGCUAUUGUUACACCAUUCAAUAAAUCUAGUGACUCAGUUUGUUCGUUUUUUUCUCAGAACUAACGACCAUUAAGCAUUCUUCUAGCCAUUUAAAAAAUGGCAGAAAAAUGGGUUGCAACACUUAAAGAAAAGCUUUACCUCUCUCCACGCCAUGCAAUUUGGUUUCAGAACCAAGCAUUCUACUGAAACAGCUACAUGCCUCCUCAUAGAGAAAAUCAAAUAUUUUCUUGAUAAGGAUGAAGCUCAAGAAAGCUUUCAAAACAUUUAAUCAUUCUGUUCUUCUGAUCAAGCUUUCACAAUUCAAUUUCCGUCACAACGUUAUGAGCUGGAUUGAAUCCUAUCUGCAUGAUGGAACCUGACCUGUAUCACUUAACAACCGCAGAUCUGAUUCUCUUUGCCUAACCUUUGUAGUCCUUCAGGGAUCAAAAUUAGAUCCCCUUUUAUUUAGUCUAUAUGCCGAUGAUUUUCUUACUUUUUGUCCUGAAACUUAAUUCUUGAUGUAUGCAGAUGACACUGUUUUCAGUGAUUUCACUGUGCUUUAGUAAACUACAUGAUUAAUAUUGUAAUCAAAAACUAGGGACCAAAUUAUAA